rnacentral:lncRNA from 1 species
ACACCAACUUGGAGGACCUAGAGAACUUGAUGAUGAUCGAAUCCGCUAAAGAUUAUGGAUCAUGAUGCCACAAAAGAUCAUCGACAAUAUGUAAGUCAAUUAAGGUGGUAAGCAAUCCACUUGACUAAUAACUCAACAAGUAGAGUUAUAUGAACGUUUCGAGAAACGCUCCAUGAGUGCAUUCCACAGUACUUUAUGGUCAUUACUUUUUGCACAGAUUGCCAUUGAAGGCUUUUGUCGAUGUGGCGCAUCAAAGACUUUGAGCGCAUGAGAUGUGAAAUCUCGGCAUCUAGGCUUGUUAGCCUGGGGGUCAAAACAUGUGGUUUAAUCCUUUCCAAUGAAAGGUUCCACAGAUACCAAGCGAAGAUCCACCUUAGGCAUCUAGUACGUCAAAACUCAAAGGAGCAGAAUGUUACAUUGCUCUUGCAUACAAAACCAAGCUGUUAUGAGACUCGAUAGAGGUCACAAACGAUGCUUUUAAUGGUUUGUCCUUCGGAUUGAUCAUACACAAUCCGGGAAAGCCGCGAAUUGAUCAAACACAAUUCGGAAAAAUGCCUCGGAUUGAUCAAACACAAUCCGGUGAAAAGUCGGGGUUGAUCAAACACAACCCGGACAAAGAAACAAGAGUGAUCAAACACACUCUUGACCCGCGAAUAAAAUUCCAGGAUUUGGGUACCUGCACGCACAAAAUCCCAAGCAUAGAAUGGAGAUGGAGAAGGGAGGAAAGGAUUUUAUCCUCCCCGAGUUAUUGAACUUGGAAAAGUUUAAGGUUUCAAAAAACAUACCUUUCUAGAAGCUGCCAAGAGGAGAAAUAACGUUUCGCCUACUUAUACUUCGAAUUUGGGGCUGAAAAUUUGAUAGGAGGAGCAGCACUGGAUGGGGAAGUUGCUGUCAAAAUUUCAGGUUGAUCGGAGCAAAGGAAGGUGGUGAACCGGUGGUCGGUAGCGGCGGCGGUCUGGAAUCUUCCGGCGGCCGGUUCGGAGACUUUCCGGCCGGUUCUGAGGGUGAGACUGGCGGCGUUGGAUCCGGGGCGGAGAGAGCUUUCUGGGGAUAUAAAAUUCCGGCGGAGGGCAGUCGGAAUUUUGGUCGGAAAUCGGGAAAAACAAGGCUGCCCGAUUUUUGGGUUUUGGUUUUUAGGGUUUAGAAAAAAAAUGGUGGGCUAUUGGCUCUAGGGUUAGAACAAAGUGCAUGAUAACGUGAUGAAGGAUUAAUGGUAGAGACAAAGAGAUAGCAAGAGAAUCAUCAUCUUAUUCAUUGAUAGGAGCCCUUUAUAUAGGGAAUUACACAAUACCAAUAUGGUAAGGAUAUGAAUACAUAGAUCUAGUCUAACUACAUAUCCUAUUGGCAUAAGGCCAAGACACACAUAGAGAAUAUCCUAGAACACAAAGCUCUUUAU